rnacentral:rRNA from 1 species
AUUGAACGCUGGCGGCAUGCCUUACACAUGCAAGUCGAACGGUAACAGGUCUUCGGAUGCUGACGAGUGGCGAACGGGUGAGUAAUACAUCGGAACGUGCCCGAGAGUGGGGGAUAACGAAGCGAAAGCUUUGCUAAUACCGCAUACGAUCUCAGGAUGAAAGCAGGGGACCGCAAGGCCUUGCGCUCAUGGAGCGGCCGAUGGCAGAUUAGGUAGUUGGUGGGAUAAAAGCUUACCAAGCCGACGAUCUGUAGCUGGUCUGAGAGGACGACCAGCCACACUGGGACGGAGACACGGCCCAGACUCCUACGGGAGGCAGCAGUGGGGAAUUUUGGACAAUGGGCGCAAGCCUGAUCCAGCCAUGCCGCGUGCAGGAUGAAGGCCUUCGGGUUGUAAACUGCUUUUGUACGGAACGAAAAGACUCUGGUUAAUACCUGGGGUCCAUGACGGUACCGUAAGAAUAAGCACCGGCUAACUACGUGCCAGCCGCCGCCGUAA